rnacentral:rRNA from 1 species
AUGAGCAGGAACGAGAAAAUAGCGAGGAAGAAUCCACAAAGAACUGUCGUGUUUGUGAUGCAUCUUGCUUGCCUGAUGCCGAAGACGAACUGUGUACACCACAUUGGCAGCGAACUCUGUACUCCUCAAAAUCACCCGGACUCCAUCCGUUGGCGCUCGCUUGCGGGCAGGCUGUCGUCAUGCCAUGUGAUUAAACCGAGGUCCCCGGAUGUGGAUGGCCCGUCGUCUUUGGACGGGCGAAGGAGUGGACGCGACCCGCAUUGGCCGCUAGCUGGGCGUCAGCAUCACCAGGGUACCCUCCGCCUGCAGGAACCAAUGAGGAGGAUGAGAGGUAGCAUUGUCCGAAACAUGGGAGGCAACAUGACGGAUGGAGGCUGCUCACAUGGCAGCGGCGGUUUAAGCUUUCUCUCUUCCCGAAUAAGAAAAAAAAGGCGAUCUUGUCUCCAGCCGCCAGGGCACCUUGCUCCGCCGCCGUCCUCCGACGGCUCCCCUCCGCUGAUGACCUUUGUCGUCGGUGAUGGUGGGGGGAGGGGGGUCGCCGGAUCCAUGCGUGUGGAUUGUUUUAGACUGUGCAAGAAAGGAUGGUACGGCGGCGGCGGCAUCCUCAUGGUGGACAUGUGUCCUCGGGCUCCGCCGCUGCGACGACGUUUGCUCCAGCGCUGGCACGGAGCUUGGGAGGUAGUCCAGGAGCAUAUGCAGAUUGUGGUCUACAUCGGCGACAUCUGGAAGAUGGUGGAUCUUGGUUCGUGUUCAUGGCAGGCAGGUAUGGUUUCCUCCUCCAACGUCUUAGUUGGGCGGGGGUGCCAGAUCUGGAGUUUGAUGGCGUGUCCGGGGUGGAGUUUUGUCAAGUCGAUUGAUAACCGGUUUAAACCAAUGGGAGGUGGUGGUGGGAGGUGGGUCAAAAAUAAACCGCCACAUGACGCCGCGCGCGUGAACCAGCAUUGCUACCUAAACUCAGCUAACAGCAUUUCAGAAGAAAAAAAAGUCAGCGUUUCAGCUGAUCUUGUCGAUAUAAAUCCACCUUCAAAAAAAAAGUACGGCUGCUUUGCUUGGGCCAUUGGCGUCACUGCUGUGGCCCAUGGGCCUUUUGCUACUGCGGUGGACCGCCACUUCUCCUUGAAAGGAGGCAGCGGAAGAAGCAAAACGAGGCGGAGCCAGACGUUUCGAUUAGUCCCACCUCGCUUGGGUAGAAUCGCCCACCAAGCUCCGAGCCUCCGAAGCACCGGUACCAAUCAACACCUCCAAGAAGGGACGCGACGAUGCCGACGCUGCUGCCAAGGGUUUCCCCCGGUACGCGGUGAGGAGAGAGGAAGGGUAGCCCGACGCCCUCCAGGAAGGUCCGGCGGCACCCUCAAGCGCCACCGCGUCAGUGUCGGCCAAGCCAACAGGGAUUUCUCCCGAUCCCAACCUUCCCCUCAGGCACUCCGAAGCUCGCCACCAAACAGACCCCCAUCCUGCGCCAACCCAGCCACGAAGCUUCCUACGCCGUCUCACCACGGCAUCAUGGAGCAUGGUCUGCACAAUGAAGAAGAGGAGCCAGGACUAGGGCAGCAGCACCGUCGGCACGCGCCCGUGGCCGCACAGGCCCAGCCGGGAUCUCCGAGGCCCGUAAAUUUCCCGCCUUCGCACUGCAGCUGGCACGCAGUCGGCUCCGCGGCCCCUGUCCAAGCCGCUCCCCUGCCUCCCCGCACAGAUAGCCACCAAGUGGAAGCACCACCACCACACGCACCGCCGGCCACCACCACCAGGUCGCUGGACCGCCACAGUCCGAGCCGCACCACCGCCGCACGCCCGCGACGGAGAGGAACCAAUGCAGCCGUCGGGAGCCCGAAGAGGAACAAGCCCCGCCGUCGCCGCCGCCGGUCGGGCUUUGCCCGGCCGCGCCCCCUGGCGGCGGCGAGGGGAGAGGGAGGAGGAGGGGAGGCCGGCGGCGGGCGGAUUUGGGAGCCCUCCCCGGCCGCCUCGCGGGUGGCGGCACGGGAGGUGUUGGUUCUCAAACAGGAGGAGGAAAUGCAGAACAUCAACAAGCAGACAAACUCGAGGAUGGGGUGGCUAAGUUUCCUCUUGCUCGGCAUCUGCUUGUCCGUGGCAGGGUUGCAGCUGUGGCAUCUGAAGACCUUUUUCGAGAGAAAGAAGCUGCUAGACGGGUCAAAUUCUGUUGUGUGGGCCGUGCUAAAAAAGAGUUGCACAAGUGUGAGGCGACGGGUCUGUUGGGCUGAACUAUUGUUGCCUCUCGAGUGGGCUGGUGACCUGGUUGGCAAACAUUGUCAAGUGAUACGGGAGUCAAGUGGAAGAGGCGUAGCGCUGUUCUGGUUUAGUCCCACCUCGCCUACACAAGGAAUGAGGGGAGGGAGCGGGCUACAUAAGAGCGGGUGGCCGAUGCUAGACGCCGGCGCACCGGCCGAACGCUUCGGCCGGUCCAACCCUAGCCGUCAGAUCGGCCUCUUCCGAUCCGUUGGAUCCUUAUCCAACCAGGGCGUCGUCUUCCUCUCGCGAGCGCGGACGGGGAAAGGAGCCCCGUCUCGCCGCCCGUCUUCGCCGGCCGCCCCACGCUUCGACACUCAGCUCGCCCCGCCCGCUCGCCGCCCCGACCGCUGGUUGGAGCUGACCGCUCGCCGCCUCGGCCGUCCGUUGGAGCGUCAUGGAUGCAGCUCCGCGAUUCAACUCAUCCAAGUCCGCUCGCCGCCCCGGCCGCCCGUCGGGGCCGCCCCGGCCGCCCGUCGGGGCCGCCCCGACCGCUCGCUGCCCCCGCUGCUCGUCGGAGUGCCAUGGAUGCAGCUCCGCCUCACCGAUGAUUUGUUCCAGCAAAAAAAGAGAGAUGCCCCGUGGUAG